UUGCCCUUCAGUUCCUGCAGC
rnacentral:misc_RNA from 1 species